GAGUAUCAUAAAGAAAUACUGCCUGGGAAUGCAUAAAUAAAAGAAAAAGAAGUUCCAAAAAUUGUUCAGAGUUCGAUUGUUUCGGCGUAUUGAGUUGACAAGUGAAGAUGGAUAGACAAAGAUCUUUGUGGCUUGCUGCCAUCUUCAUUUCGUUGUUAUCCUCUGCUCACUCCUUUUAUCUCCCUGGUGUUGCUCCUCGCAAUUUUCAAACUGGUGAUCCUCUUAAUAUCAAAGUGAACAAGCUGUCAUCUACAAAAACACAACUACCCUACGACUACUACUUCUUGAAGUACUGCAGGCCUACCAAGAUUU
rnacentral:misc_RNA from 1 species